GCUAAUAAGAAAUAAUACUAAUCCAUAGAAGAUCUCUGUUAUGUUAUUGCAUGCGUUGCUCUUAGAGGUAAGAGCUAACAUGGCAUCCACUCGUGACAUCGUACCCUUGUACGCAACACUCCUCGACGCUUGCUCUUCCACCAAAAACCUCCAAAAUCUCAAACGUCUUCACGCCCGAACAAUUAGACUCGGCAUUUCACCUCACGACUUCAUCCGAACUAAGCUCAUCUCCUCCUACGCCUCCUGUGCCCAACUUCACCAAGCUAACCUUCUUUUCUCCUUUGCCACUCGCCGACCCACUUACCUUUUCAACACUCUCAUCAGAGCCUACUCAUCUCUCAGUCUCUUCUCUCACUCUCUCUCCCUUUUUCGCCAAAUGCUCCUUGCUGCCAAACCCAUUGACCGCCACACCUUGCCCGUUGUGCUUAAAUCGUGCGCCGGGUUAUCGGCUCUACGGCUUGGCCGGCAAGUCCACAAUGCGGUUUUGGUUAAUGGGUUUACCUUAGAUUUGGGAAAUUCGAACGCGUUGAUAACAAUGUAUGUUAAGUGUGGUGAUUUGGAAAAUGGGCGUAAGGUGUUUGAUGGAAUGCCUGUGAGGAAUGAGAUUUCUUGGUCAGCGAUGAUGGCAGGGUAUGGGAUGCAUGGGUUGUUUAGUGAAGUGUUUGGGUUGUUUGAUAGAAUGUUGGAGGCUAAUGAGAGGCCGGAUGGCGUGACUUUUACGACGGUACUGACAGCUUGUAGUCAUGGUGGUUUGACAGACAGAGGGAGGGAGUAUUUCAAGAUGAUGCAGGGGAGGUUUGGGGUUAAGCCAGGGCUGGAGCACUAUACGUGUAUGGUGGAUAUGUUGGGGAGGGUAGGCCAGGUGGAGGAAGCGGAAAAGUUGAUUUUUGGAAUGGAGAUAGAGCCUGAUGAAGCUCUUUGGGCCGCAUUGUUGGCUGCUUGUAGAAUUCAUGGGAAGCUGGAGGUGGCUGAGAGGGUGGCAGAGAAGGUUUAUGGGAAGCGACUGAGUGUAGAAUCUUUGUGAAUCAUUUUGCUGCAUGGACUUAAGAUUGUUGCUUGAAUGAGUUCUAUAGUUCAAGAAGCUAUGUUGGGGAAGACAUUUUGACUUCUUGGAUCACCAUGAAAAUUGAAAGUCAUUUCUGGAGCUGAAGCAUUUAGCAAGCGAACAGAUAAGAGUGCUCAUUUCACCUUUGCCAGCUUCUUCAUUUGAGAAAUACCUUUUGGUGGCAACUCAUGGAAAUGCCAUAUCAAAGUAUACCAUAAAUUCUUUAGUUUCUUUGCUCUUCCUUUGCAUGGUUUAAGUGUUUCUUGAUGACCUUGCUAUCAAUAUUUAAGUGAUAUUGAUCGGUGAGGGAUGAUAAGAACACGCUACAAGUUGUUACAUUGACCAGAAGAUAAAAGGGGUUGGUAUUUCAUGAGUGGUAGAAGAGCUGAACUGAAGCUACUAUUAAAAUGUCCAAAAUUGGGGAAAGGAGCCGUUAGGAUAGUUUGGCCAACAAAUAGAGAUCAUUAUACUUUUCAAGAAUAUAUUCAUAAAUUUUAAGACUAUGACGAUGUAUUGGCUUUCAUUCACCUUCACAUUCAGGCUUCAUUAUGAUUGGUUCCCUGUAUGUCAUUAUUCCUUUUGUAGCUCUAGUUACAACAGUAUGGCAAGAUUGACCGACUCUUUCUAUACAUAU